CCAAGGCCGAACGCAUGCCAGUGCUGGGGAUGGAACCCAGGGUCUCCUCACACAUUCUAGAUGAGAAAAAUGAGACACAGAGAAGUUAAGCAACCACAAUUUUUGCAACCUGCACAAAGUUAUGGCCAAGUCAGGCUCUGAUCCAAGCAGUCUAUGAAUCCUCAGCCUAUAUGCAUGCUGCAACUCUUUACAUUCAAUAUCUGUUGCUAAUGUUUUCCCCCAAAUGGUGUUGUUCGUUUUUUAAAAUUCAUUUUUAUUUAUACAAUUACUUAUCAUUUCCUCUAUAGCUUUUUCCAGUAUUUAUAAUUCUUCUAGUAUCACAAAUAUUUCCUAUGCUUAGAUUUAAAAACAAUGAAUCCCUUAAAUCUUUUCUGGAAUUUAAUAGUCAAAGAGGUAUUAAAAUUUUGUCAUUUCUUAAAAUCCUAAUAUAAUCAAUAAUACUUCCCUUUUCCACUGAUUUGUAACGUUUCCUUUAUCACAGCAAAUUUUAUAAGGGCUUGUUUUGAUUACUCAUUCUUGUCCCAGGACUGUCCUAAAAAUGGCUAUAGCUAUCUAAUAUAUUUGAGGGUAACUGCCAAAAAAUAUAGGUCUGCUACAUUUUAACUUAUUUAUUUUUUGGUGUUACAAAUAAGAUUUAUUCAUAGUUUCUCUUGAGCUCUGUUUGCUAAGUCUUCAUACUUGGGCUGCAUUAAUUUCACAAAAUGAAAUGUUCCAUGCUAGGGGUGUAGCUCACAGGCAAAGCACAUGCUUAGUACAAGUGAGGCCCUGGGUUCAACCCCCGGCACAGGAAAAAAAAAAAAAAAAAAAAAAAAGGAAGAACAAAAUGAACUGUUCCAAAACA